CAGGAAACCAGUUGCGUGGGUCUCCUCCAGGCCUGCUGCCGCUGUGCACUCGAGGGCCUGCAGAUGAGGAGCGCUCCAGAGAGGAAGAACCUGGGACAAAUAAGACCAGAGCGGACGCAGAGGACAGGAAAUGGUACCUGCUGGGGUCUUCCCUGCCUCCUGGUGCAGACAGUGCCGGGACCUCAGCAGGGCAGAGGGGCAGACAGGGCCAGGGAGUCUGGAUCUGGGGAGAUGCCCAGCUACUUAACAGGCUGUGCAGUGGGCACUGGAUGGCCACCUUUCCUGUCUUCCUGGGUUCUCGCUUCCCAGGCAGGAGGCAGAUCGCAGUCAAUCACCAGGGUGCAGUGUGAUCCUGGAAUCACAGCUCAGGGAGCCCCAGCUUGGCUGGAGGCCUGUGGGGAGCCCCAGAGAAGCCACAUUUGACCUCGGCUCUGAACAAGGAUGGCACACCACACUGACCCUCAUUGGAAGGAGGGUUCCAGAAGAAAGAAGGUGAUCUCAGCACCCAAAAUCCUGCUGCUUGGCAAAUUGAUAAGGCUGAAGAUGACUCCUACCAGAGCCUUUACUAAGCCAGGGUAUAAUAAAGAGAAAAAGAGAGAGCCUGAGAGGGUGGAGGUGGGAUCCAGGUCUUCUACCUCCUAGGAUUCUAUGUGGCUAUUUGUGGCAUCAGGAAACUCUGAGAGCACCACUUUUUAAUUCAUUUUUUUAAUUGACAAAAAAGUAUAUAUUGAUGGUGUACAACACGUUUUGAUAUAUGUAUUCAUUGUGG
rnacentral:lncRNA from 1 species